rnacentral:rRNA from 1 species
UACGUAGGGGGGCAAGCGUUGUCCGGAAUCAUUGGGCGUAAAGAGCGUGUAGGCGGCCAGAUAAGUCCGCUGUGAAAUCUCGAGGCUCAACUUCGAGCUGUCGGUGGAAACUGUCUGGCUAGAGUCCGGAAGAGGAGAAUGGAAUUCCCAGUGUAGCGGUGAAAUGCGUAGAUAUUGGGAGGAACACCAGUGGCGAAGGCGGCUCACUGGACCGGAACUGACGCUGAGGCGCGAAAGCGUGGGGAGCAAACAGG